UUAAAGGAUAAUUGGUAGCUGCU
rnacentral:piRNA from 1 species